rnacentral:rRNA from 1 species
AUGUCCAGGCCUGGACGAUGUGAAGGCAUCGUCCAUAGCUCAACCGCAGCCACUUUUUCUCCCUCCCGCCAACUCCGUCGCCCUCUCUCCUGCCAAGUCGCUUGCUCUGGAGACGAAGAGGACGCCGCCGUGAGGUCGUCGUCGCGCCACACCAUAGCAUCCCGAGGCGAGGAAGAUGAAUUGUUGGUGGCAGCAUGGUUGCACACCAGUUUGGAUGCUAUGAUAGGGACAGAUCAAUCAUCAAAUUCUUAUUGGGGUAGGAUUUAUGAUUACUACAGCACGCGCAAGAAAGUGUCAUGGCCGGUGCGUGUUCAAAAUGCAAUCACUUGUCGUUGGAGCACUAUUAAUGAACAUGUCAGCAAGUUUUGUGGACACUAUCAGCAAAUUCUUAAUAGAAACCAAAGUGGGGUGACUAUCGCUCAGCAGCAAGCCCAGGCACUUGUUUUAUACAAGUCCAAAGAUCCUAAAAACAGGCCAUUUGCAUUAAUGCAUUGCUGGUUAGAGUUGCAUUAA